rnacentral:misc_RNA from 1 species
UGUGGGAGCGGGCUUGCUCGCGAAGGCGGUGGAUCAGUCAGCAUAUUUAGCGACUGACACACCGCCUUCGCGAGCAAGCCCGCUCCCACA